rnacentral:rRNA from 1 species
UACGGAGGGAGCCAGCGUUGUUCGGAAUUACUGGGCGUAAAGCGCACGUAGGCGGCCAUUCAAGUCAGAGGUGAAAGCCCGGGGCUCAACUCCGGAACUGCCUCUGAAACUAGAUGGCUUGAAUCUUCGAGAGGCGAGUGGAAUUCCGAGUGUAGAGGUGGAAUUCGUAGAUAUUCGGAAGAACACCAGUGGCGAAGGCGACUCGCUGGACAAGUAUUGACGCUGAGGUGCGAAAGCGUGGGGAGCAAACA